AGGCAGGUUGCAAGUUUCUUAUAUUUACGCACCAUCAGCCAAUGACAGAUGCGAUACAUGAGUGCCUUUUUAAGAAAAAAGUGGGUUGCAUCUAGAUUGAUGGAGGUACACCUGCUGCAUGAAGGCAACAAUUGGUUACAGAUUUCCUGGAAAAGGAUUAUAUCCAGGCAGCUGUAGUAUGGUGGUAUUUUUGGUUGUGCAUUUCUUCCAUGUGGCAUGUUAUCAGGCAGUUAUCCAUUAAAGUGGGAGUAGUUAGAUUAACUUUAACUGCUGCAAGUACAGUUAUCUUUACAGAGUAAUCCUGGACUCCAGGUGACCUAAUUCAGGCCAAAGAUCGUGCUCAUAGAAUUGGCCAGUUGUGAUUCCAAUUUUUAAGCUUUCUAGGUACUGGGAAUUAGAUGGUCAUGAAUUUUCUACGCUGAGAGUAUUAUUGCAAGAGUGAGAAGGCUAUCCUUGAGUGGACUGCUCCUGUACAAGUUUUUUGUGCAGUGGCCAAAGCUGCAACAACAAUAUCCUUGAGCUAUCUAUGUUGGCUGUCUCAUGUAACUCAUCGAUAACUUCGUUAACAUUUUAGAGAAACUUUUUUACAUGCGAGUUACACACUACCUACUAAUUUGAGGUAUGUAAACCCUUCUUUUGCAAACUACUAACAGCAUUUAAGGGAGACUCUCUCUAGCUCUUUUUCCUUUUUAGGCUGCCCGUCUGGGGUGGGUUAAGUUUGUGUAUUAACUCACUAAAUAACAAGAUGGCAAAGGGAUUCUCUGUUUCCUAUUUAUUAGCUUCCCAUAAAGAAUAAAGAAAAUGAAAACAAAGCGGUGCAUAAGAUUGCACUUAAAGCUUAUCACCUACAGAAAAAUAAGCUUAUCACUUAUUUUAACUAUUCGAUCACACCUCUGUCUUUUAUGUUACACCAUGAUUCUUAAAUUUUUUUGUUUUGGAAGGAAAACUAAAAGACAAAAAUCUCAAUGUAUCAACUAGCCUCCAAGUGUCUCUCUUAAAAAAUUUUUCUUGUCAUAUUCAGCUCUACGUAAAGAAGGAGACUGGACCUGCAAUUUACUAUUAUUAAUAACCUGCAAUUUACUAUUCUGGAUUUGCUUUGGUUUGAUGAUUUACAGAUAUUGAUGACAUCCUUUAUACUUACAGUUUUGGAUCGUCAACUAAAAUUACAAGGAACAUUAUUGGUGCCAGAUUGUUAAUUUUAGAGGUUUUCAUUCAUGUAAGGAAGUAAAGUUUCUUUUUGACAUUUUUUGGGGAAUAACAUUAUUUAUUUGGCAUACCUU